rnacentral:rRNA from 1 species
CCUACGGGUGGCAGCAGUGAGGAAUAUUGGUCAAUGGGCGGAAGCCUGAACCAGCCACGCCGCGUGAAGGAAGACGGCUCUAUGAGUUGUAAACUGCUUUUGUACAGGGGUAAACCUCUAUACGUGUAUUAAGCUGACAGUACUAUACGAAUAAGGAUCGGCUAACUCCGUGCCAGCAGCCGCGGUAAUACGGAGGAUCCAAGCGUUAUCCGGAUUUAUUGGGUUUAAAGGGUGCGUAGGCGGAUUGAUAAGUUUGAGGUGAAAUGUUCGGGCUUAACCCGGGAACUGCAUUUAAUACUGUAGAGCUAGAGAGUAGAUGAGGUAGGCGGAAUGUAUGGUGUAGCGGUGAAAUGCGUAGAGAUCAUACAGAACACCGAUUGCGAAGGCAGCUUACCAAACUAUAUCUGACGUUGAGGCACGAAAGCGUGGGGAGCAAACAGGAUUAGAUACCCUAGUAGUC